CCUAAAUAUCGAUAACCACUGAAUAUACUCACCUCUCUUGAAGUAUUUUAGGGUUCAGCACUAAAUGAAGGAAAUGAAGGAGUAAACUUACAGUUUGAGGCGCAGAACUGGAUAAAAUAACUUUCAACUGCUGCAAGAUAAAUUCAUACAUUUUAAAGUUACAGGUAAUAUAAGAAGAGAAAAUUGUGAGCAGACUAGAAGAUAAUGCGUUAGACAGAGUAACCAUAUAGACUGUCACAUAUAGUAACCUAAACACCGGGGAGUGACUGGAUUCCUGUCUCGUGAGCUCUUCUGCCUAUAAAAUCUCUUUGGCUUUGUGCCCGGCCCUUGGCUAAUCGGAUACCGCCAGGACUUAUUGCCUGAGAAUCCAACAACUGCCACCGGGGCCACAAGAGAGUCCUAACAAAUAAUCAGGGAAUGGAGCCCAAACACAAGGGCUGGACUUAGACUGGCCCGGGUCACAAACAGAUAACAGGAUCAGAAUUGUGAGGCAACUGAAGGAACAAGCCGGGGUUUAAACCAGGAAUGUCCCAGGGGACAAGAACAGGAGCCAAAGGAACCCCAGUUAGAGGAACAGAGCACCUGGGACUAAGUACACUUGACUUAUAACAGGCAGUGAGUCGGUGCAGUGCAGGGAGUUAUAGAGCCAAUCUAAUGGCUAAUACUGAGCACCUGUGGCCACAUAGAACACCAGGUUCCCUGUUCAACUCCCCGCAGGAUGCCCCCCAGACACAAGGGGGUAAUUACAGAAGAAGCCGACCCCUCAGCUGCAGGAGAACCAGCGACCCCUCCCCAGUGAGGAACCAACAAAACAUUCUCCUGGAAGGAUUUGGACUUGUGUUUUAGCCGACUCCAAUUGGGAGAGAUUUUCCUGGGUCUCCUACAACAGAGCCGUGGAGUUGGCAGUGGAUGGAGCACGUGGUUGUGUGUGAAUGGCAGCUUGACUCUGUGUGUGCCAGUUGAAUAAGGUUCUUCCAUCCAAAAUGGCAGCUUCCUUCUGUGCAAUCAUUGAUCAAUAUUUGUCUGGUGUUGGCAUCCAGGGAGAUGGGCCUCACACUUAACCUUGUAUAUGCUGGACACGGGAACGUUCAGGUCUCUGCACAAGGACCUGUAGCUUUGAGAUGCUCCUCAUUCAUUACAUACACUUUCUCCCACACAAAGCUGCAGGAAUGGGGCACAAUUUUACCAUAUUAUCCAGAUCCAGACCAGCCUCUAUGGAGGCCCCAUUAAACCACAUCUCAGUUUUAUUAACUCCGCAGUGACAAUUCUCUCUGCUCAUGGCUCUCCAUAGCCUGUAAGGGAGCAAUCAUUUCCAGGUUAUAAAAAUUCCCAACUGUGUCACGUAGAGCUGGGCUUUUCCCAACUGUUGUGCCUCCUGGAGAAACCCAAGCUGAAGGCUGGAGAAGCCUCUUGUUUUCUCUAACAAAUGGGCAGUGUUAGUGAGCAGCUCAGAGACUCCAUGGUUGGCAGUGUUUGCCUCUUCCUCUAUGUGUUUGCUAUGGAGUGUCGGGUCAAUACCAUAUAAAUAAGGGAGAGGGAGUUGUUGAUGUGACGUGGUGGCCUAGUGGAUAAUGCAUUUGGCAUAGAUUGUUGUGAUCUUGAGUUUGAAUUCAGCCUUAGUUGUGUUUGAAAUAUGUUGUUUGUCUUUAAAGUGCUGAAUAAACAUGUUGAUGAUGUUGAUACAAAAGACAAUGCUCAUCUGUUGGGUGGCACAGUGACUCCUGUGGAGCAGAAAAUGUGGGACCGGCCUGAGGAAUUGGGUUUUUAUCCAGGUGUAGCAGUGAGUGAGAAGUGUCUUUUCCCUUUAAAGUGCUGAACAAACAGGAUAAUCCAUGAUAAAUUUACCAAAAACAAUGUUGUAUCUUGUGUGGCAAGGUGGCUCAUGGUGUAGCAGUCCUGUGUAGUAGAGUCUGUGGGUCGGAAUUUGAAUCCUUUGGCAGGGGACUAGGGUUCGAAUCCAGUAGUGAUUCUCUUUAAAUUGCUGAACAAACAGGAUAAUCAAUGAUAAAUUUACCAAAAACACAAUGGAAUCUUGUGCGGACAGGUGGCUCGUGGAGUAGCACUGCUGGGUAGCAGAACCUGUCGGCCUGAGUUCAAAUCCCAUCUGUGACUGUGCGGAUCGCAGGCAGGUGGGAGAGGGCGUGAGUUCAAAUCCCGUCUGUGACUGUGUGGGGCGCAGCCAGAUGGGUGAAGUAGGCCGGAGCAAACAUGGUUGGGGGCUGUGGGCCACUCCACAAGUGAAAAAGCAGGGGUUAUAGAAAAAGUUGUUGUGAAAAUUACAAUUU